CACCUGCCGCACCGCCCUGCCCACGUGACGGCCCGAGACGCCCCCCCCCCCCUGCCCCCGCCAGCCUGUCCUUACACCUGCACACCCGUCCCUGCUCACCUGUCCUUACAUCUGCACACCUGUCCCUGCACACCUGUCUUUGUGUGUGCACAACUGUCUUUGCACGUGGACGACUAACCUCGCUCGUGUACUGCAGUCCUGCACGUACACACGUACACACAUCCUUUGCGCAUGCACAACAGCCAUUGCAAGUACACACCUGUCCUCGCACACCUGCCCUUGCCCCUGCCUGCCUCUGCCUCUGCCCCUCUGCC